rnacentral:rRNA from 1 species
GUUAGGAAUAUUGGACAAUGGGCGCAAGCCUGAUCCAGCCAUGCCGCGUGAGUGAUGAAGGCCUUCGGGUUGUAAAGCUCUUUAGCCGAUGAUUAUAAUGACUGUAGUCGGAAAAUAAGCCCCGGCUAACUUCGUGCCAGCAGCCGCGGUAAUACGAAGGGGGCGAGCGUUAUUCGGAAUCACUGGGCGUAAAGCGUGCGUAGGCGGCUUUGCAAGCUGGGAGUGAAAGCCUAGGGCUCAACCCUGGAAUUGCUCUCAAAACUGCAAGGCUCGAAUGAGGGAGAGGAUAGCGGAAUUGUCAGUGUAGCAGUGAAAUGCGUAGAUAUUGACAGGAACACCAGUGGCGUAAGCGGCUAUCUGGACCGAUAUUGACGCUGAGGCACGAAAGCGUGGGGAUCAAACAGGAUUAGAAACCCUUGUAGUCC